CAGAAAUGCGACCUCUGCAUAAGAAGCUGAUUGAUCAAUUCCAGAUGAUGAGGGCCAGUCUGUACCAUGAGUUUCCAUGUUUGGAUAAGCUGAGUCCUGCAUGUUCAGGCACCAGCACCCCACGGGGAAAUGUUCUGGCAUCCCAUAGUCCCAUGAGCCCCGAGAACAUCAAGAUGAGCCACAGGCACAGCCCCAUGAACUUGAUGGGCACAGGCCGCCAUUCAUCAUCCUCUCUCUCCUCACAUGCAUCGAGUGAAGCAGGAAACAUGAUGAUGAUGGGUGACAACUCUAUGGGUGAAACUCCUGAAGACCUCUACCACCACAUGCAGCUUGCAUAUCACAACCCCAGGUACCAGGGCUCAGUCACCAACGUCUCUGUUCUGUCCUCAUCCCAGGCAAGCCCUUCUUCCUCCAGCCUGAGUUCUACUCACUCAGCACCAUCCCAGAUGAUCACCUCCGCCCCAUCUAGCACCCGAGG
rnacentral:lncRNA from 1 species